ACAAAAUCACUUCCAUUCUUCCAAAAUCCCUAACUAAGCCCGUGCCCUCCCUCCUCCUUUUUUUCCCCAAUUCGAAAAUUUUCACCUCCGGUCCACCCUCCUCCACCGAUCCACCUCCGGUCCUCCACGGCUGACGGCUCCACCCAAUUCCAAAAUCAGAGCCAAGAGAAGGAAGAAUCUCGGGUUUCAGAUUUUAAGUUGACAGAGAGAGGUGAACCAACUUCUAUAAAAGGUUCCACCUUUGGUGCUUUGACCAUGGGAAACAACGAUGAAGGCAAGUCUUCUAAGUCUGACAAAUCAUCUUCACCAGUGCCAAUGGUAAGCUAAGAGAUUAUGCAUGUUUAACUGUUGAAACUAGAAACAAGCUGGAAUAUUUUAUGUUUAUGUAUUUUUUUUUGGGGAAUAGAUCUUUAAAGUAGCUGUAUGAUUUUCACAACAAAGUUUGAUCAUUACAAUUUUAUUUAGGGAUUUGGUAUGAUGCAACUUAAUAGGAAAUUAAAUGUGCUUCAUUUC